GUCCGGUGUCGGCCGGACAUAUACUAAAAUUGGAACGAUACAGAGAAGAUUAGCAUGGCCCCUGCGCAAGGAUGACACGCAAAAUCGUGAAGCGUUCCAAAUUUUU
rnacentral:snRNA from 2 species